rnacentral:rRNA from 1 species
GAUGAACGCUAGCGGCAGGCUUAACACAUGCAAGUCGAGGGGUAUAGUUCUUCGGAACUAGAGACCGGCGCACGGGUGCGUAACGCGUAUGCAACCUACCCUAUUCUGGGGGAUAGCCCGAAGAAAUUCGGAUUAAUACCCCAUGGCACUUUAGAAUGGCAUCAUUUUAAAGUUAAAGGUUACGGAAUAGGAUGGGCAUGCGUCCCAUUAGCUAGAUGGUAAGGUAACGGCUUACCAUGGCGACGAUGGUAGGGGGUCUGAGAGGAUGGUCCCCCACACUGGUACUGAGACACGGACCAGACUCCUACGGGAGGCAGCAGUGAGGAAUAUUGGUCAAUGGGCGAGAGCCUGAACCAGCCAUGCCGCGUGCAGGAAGAAUGCCCUAUGGGUUGUAAACUGCUUUUAUCAGGGAAUAAACCUUUCUACGUGUAGGAAGCUGAAGGUACCUGAUGAAUAAGCACCGGCUAACUCCGUG